UUGUAUCUAUUUUAGGCAUGCGUUAAAUCUUUGACACAAGAUAGAAUCAGUGCUAAAUGUAAAUGUUCUUAUGCCUCAUUUCCAAUAUUGGCAAACGACUCGGCCAUAUGUGAUUCAGCCAACAACAUGACAAUAGCACAAUGCGUCAGUGAUGCUUAUCGAGAAAUGGAAUCCUUGGAUACAUCCCUGCUAUGUCGCCAGUUGUGCCUAGACAGAAACUACGAGCUGACAAUAUCAUCGUCCUCGUGGCCGUCAAACCAAUAUCUG